UCCACUGGUGGCUACCAACAGUUUAUGCCCU
rnacentral:piRNA from 1 species